rnacentral:rRNA from 1 species
UAGGGAAUCUUCGGCAAUGGACGAAAAGUCUGACCGAGCAACGCCGCGUGAGUGAAGAAGGUUUUCGGAUCGUAAAACUCUGUUGGUAGAGAAGAACGUUGGUGAGAGUGGAAAGCUCAUCAAGUGACGGUAACUACCCAGAAAGGGACGGCUAACUACGUGCCAG